GGGCCUGUAGUCCAGUGGUUACGACGUCUCCCUUACACGGAGAAGAUCAGAGGUUCGAGUCCUCUCAGGCCCA
rnacentral:tRNA from 1 species